rnacentral:rRNA from 1 species
AUGAUUUCUCUUCUUUCAAAACCUUGUCUAUAUAAUCCAUUUUUCUUGUUGUUCAACAGCAUGUACAAGACUCUAGAGCGGUACCGCAGCUGUAACUUCAACUCCGAGGCAACUUCAACUCCGGAGUCCGAAGAGAGCAGUUACCAGGAGUAUUUAAAGCUAAAGACAAGAGUUGACUUCCUACAGACAACUCAGAGAAAUCUUCUUGGCGAGGACUUGGGCCCACUUAACAUGAAGGAACUUGAGCAACUGGAGAACCACAUUGAGAUGUCUCUCAAACAUAUCAGGGCGACAAAGAGCCAGCAGUCAUUUGAUCAGCUCUUCGAGCUCAAGCGCAAGGAACAACAACUGCAAGAUGUUAAUAAAGACUUACGAAAGAAGAUACAAGAAACUAGUGCGGAAAGUGUUCUACAGAUGUUUUGCCAGGAUGUUGAUGUUGGACCUAGUGGAUCUAGUGGCCAUGCUAAUCAAGCUAAUCAACAGCAGCAUUUUCAUCCUGAUUGUGACCCUUCCUUGCGUAUGUGGUAUGAUCAUGCUUACCUGGAUCACUUGAACAAGGAAUGA